CGACUACGAGUUUGAUCAUGGCUCAGGAUGAACGCUAGCGGCGGGCCUAAUACAUGCAAGUUGAACGAGAUUGUUGGUAGCAAUACUGACAUGAAAGUGGCGCACGGGUGCGUAACACGUAUGUAACCUACCUUUAACUGGGGGCAUAGCUUCGAGAAAUCGAAAUUAAUACCCCAUAACAUUUAGAAAAGGCAUCUUUUCUUUAUCAAAGUUCCGGCGGUUAAAGAUGGACAUGCGGUGCAUUAGCUUGUUGGUGAGGUAACGGCUCACCAAGGCUACGAUGCAUAGGGGGUCUGAGAGGAUGAUCCCCCACACUGGUACUGAGACACGGACCAGACUCCUACGGGAGGCAGCAGUAGGGAAUAUUGGGCAAUGGACGAAAGUCUGACCCAGCCACGCCGCGUGAAGGAUGACUGCCCUAUGGGUUGUAAACUUCUUUUGUAUGGGAAGAAAAUUCCGAACGUGUUCGGAGCUGACGGUACCAUAAGAAUAAGCAUCGGCUAACUCCGUG
rnacentral:rRNA from 1 species